GAUGAACGCUGGCUGCGUGCCUAAUACAUGCCAGUCGAGUGAACAGAUGAGGAUCUUGCUCCUCUGACGUUAGCGGCGGGCGGGUGAGUAACACGUGGAUAACCUACCUAUCAUACUGGGAUAACUUCGGGAAACCGGAUCUAAUACCGGAUAAUAUAUUGAACCGCAUGGCUCAAUAGUUAAAGACGGUUUUGCGGUGACUUGUAGAUGGAUCCGCGCCGCAUUAGAUAGUUGGUAAGGUAACGGCUUACCAAGGCAACGAUGCGUAGCCGACCUGAGAGGGUGAGCGGCCCCCCUGGAACGGAGCCACGGUCCAGACUCCUACGGGAGGCAGCGGUAGGGAAUGUUCCGCAAUGGGCGAAAGCCUGACGUAGCACCGCCGAGUGGGGGAUAAAGGUCUUGGGAUAGUAAUACUAUGCUACUAGGGAAGAACAAAUGUGUAAGUAACUAGGCACGUCUUGACGGUACCGAAUCAGAAAGCCACGGCUAACUACGUG
rnacentral:rRNA from 1 species